rnacentral:ncRNA from 1 species
AAACCUCAUCCAGCCUGGACACAGACAGGAUUGACAGAUUGGUAACUCUUUCUCAAUUCCAUGGGUGGUGGUGUAUGGAGUUCUUAGAAGGUGGAGCAAUUGUCUGGUUAAUUCUGAUAACAAGUGAGACACUGGCAUGCUAAAUAGCUACGCGGCCCCCAAGCAGUUGGUGUCCCCCAACUUCUUAGUUUUUUAAAGUAACUCAUUUAUUUUUAUAAGGGACUUCUGGAACCACAUUGCAAACUUCUUAGGUGUAGGGGUUCCUUAAAAACAAUAUAGGUAACUAUCCAUGAAAGGAAGUCUAGUAAAGCCUCAUGGCCCAGACGAUAGGU